GUAGGUGGCAAGCGUUGUCCGGAAUUAUUGGGCGUAAAGCGCGCGCAGGCGGUCCUUUAAGUCUGAUGUGAAAGCCCACGGCUCAACCGUGGAGGGUCAUUGGAAACUGGGGGACUUGAGUACAGAAGAGGAAAGCGGAAUUCCAAGUGUAGUGGUGAAAUGCGUAGAGAUUUGGAGGAACACCAGUGGCGAAGGCGGCUUUCUGGUCUGUAACUGACGCUGAGGCGCGAAAGCGUGGGGAGCAAACAGGGAUUAGAUACCCUGGUAGUCCACGCCGUAAACGAUGAGUGCUAAGUGUUAGGGGGUUUCCCGCCCCUUAGUGCUGCAGCUAACGCAUUAAGCACUCCGCCUGGGGAUACGGCCGCAAGGCUG
rnacentral:rRNA from 1 species